rnacentral:misc_RNA from 1 species
AAGUCGUAACAAGGUAUUCGUAGGUGAACCUGCGAAUGGAUCAUUAACACUAAUGAACACCAAUAUACCAAACACAACAAACAAGGUCAAGCCGUUCACACGGUUCGAUCUGAGGACUCGGUGGGAAGAAUGAUUGCAUUGUGCGCAUUCGUGCGGUCUCUUCCUUCAGGCUUCCUUCAUAAUUUUUUAUAUUUCAAUCUCUUAUAAACAACCAAAAACCAAUCAUCAGAACUGGCCUUUGAUUAGGCAUUUGAUCUGAUUCUAAACCAAGCCUUCAACAACCGUCACUGGUUGUUUGUCGGAUACAUUAACAACAAUUGAAUACAACUCGUUGCAAUGGAUAUCUUGGUUCUC